rnacentral:rRNA from 1 species
UACAGAGGGUGCGAGCGUUGUUCGGAAUUAUUGGGCGUAAAGGGCGCGUAGGCGGUGCGGUAAGUCACCUGUGAAAUCUCCUGGCUCAACUGGGAGCUUGCAGGCGAAACUGCCGUGCUGGAGUGUGGGAGAGGUGCGUGGAAUUCCUGGUGUAGCGGUGAAAUGCGUAGAUAUCAGGAGGAACACCUGUGGCGAAAGCGGCGCACUGGACCACAACUGACGCUGAGGAGCGAAAGCGUGGGGAGCAAACAGG